rnacentral:misc_RNA from 1 species
GGAAGUAAAAAUCGUAACAAGGUUUCCGUAGGUGAACCUGCGGAAGGAUCAUUCAUAAUAAAGUGUUUUAUGGCACUUUUUAAAAAUCCAUAUCCACCUUAUGUGCAAUGUUAGAUCUCGUCAAUCUUGGCGAGAUUUUUAUACAUCAACUCAUUCUUUAACUAAUUUGUCUGAAAAAUAUUAUGAGUACUUAAUUCAAAAUACAACUUUCAACAACGGAUCUCUUGGCUCUC